AUAGAUAACUAUAAAAUAUAAUAAUAUUGUACUGAUCGAUGUGAAUAAUCGUGUGUUUGGUAUAACGAUAGAUAGAUAGUAGUCUAGAUAGUAGAUAGUACGAGUAUAUACCUUAAAGUUGUGUUAAUUACUUUUAGGAAAUUACCAUCGUUGGAGGCGAAUUAGGUUUUUUUUAAAAACUAUUAAAAACUGGUUUUUUGCUUGAAAAACCGGAUUUCGGCAAAUCGAGAAUAAACCUAAAUAAAUAGCAUGUUUUUAUUGUAUAAGAUAAGUUAAGAUAAACCAUAGGUUUAUUAUAGUUUUUAAUUAGUAAAUGGAGAAAAUAUCACGUUCGAUAAUAUGAAAUGUAAAAAUAUUAUAAAAAAUACAUAAGAUUAUUGAAGAUAUAAAAUAUUGUAUUUUUGGAGAUUUGUCACUUUUUAAUCGGGGAUGUGAUGUUUUAUUAUUAAUUCACGAGCCACAAUUAUUAUAAAUACGUAUGUUACAACAUUUAUUAGGCCCAGUAAGAUACAAUUUCACUCUAUUGUACGGAUAGUAAUCUCCAAGACGACCAGUGUAACAUUAUAUUUUUACCCCUUUCAGUA